rnacentral:rRNA from 1 species
CGGACGGGUGAGUAAUGUAUGGGGAUCUGCCUGAUGGCGGGGGAUAACUACUGGAAACGGUAGCUAAUACCGCAUAAUGUCUGCGGACCAAAGCGGGGGACCUCCGGGCCUCGCGCCAUCAGAUGAACCCAUAUGGGAUUAGCUUGUAGGUAAGGUAACGGCUUACCUAGGCGACGAUCCCUAGCUGGUCUGAGAGGAUGACCAGCCACACUGGGACUGAGACACGGCCCAG